GUAACGGCGAGUGAAGCGGCAACAGCUCAAAUUUGAAAUCUGGCCGCAAGGUCCGAGUUGUAAUUUGCAGAGGAUGCUUUUGGCGAGGUGCCUUCCGAGUUCCCUGGAACGGGACGCCAUAGAGGGUGAGAGCCCCGUACGGUAGGACCACCGAGCCUUUGUAAAGCUCCUUCGACGAGUCGAGUAGUUUGGGAAUGCUGCUCUAAAUGGGAGGUGUACGUCUUCUAAAGCUAAAUACCGGCCAGAGACCGAUAGCGCACAAGUAGAGUGAUCGAAAGAUGAAAAGCACUUUGAAAAGAGGGUUAAAAAGUACGUGAAAUUGUUGAAAGGGAAGCAUUCAUGACCAGACUUGGGCUUGGUUGAACAUCCGGCGUUCUCGCCGGUGCACUCUGCCAGUCCAGGCCAGCAUCAGUUUGCCCCGGGGGACAAAGGCGGUGGGAAUGUGGCUCUCUCCGGGGAGUGUUAUAGCCCGCCGUGUAAUGCCCUGGGGCGGACUGAGGAACGCGCUUCGGCUCGGAUGCUGGCGUAAUGGUCAUCAAUGACCCGUCUUGAAACACGGACCAAGGAGUCGUCUUCGUAUGCGAGUGUUCGGGUGUCAAACCCCUACGCGAAAUGAAAGUGAACGUAGGUGAGAGCUUCGGCGCAUCACCGACCGAUCCUGAUGU
rnacentral:rRNA from 1 species